ensembl:ncRNA asRNA:CR44228 antisense RNA:CR44228
GGCAAAAAGUGUACACAAUAAAUACGGGAGAUUUCCCCCAGAAAGUUAGUAGAGCGGAUGUGGAUCUGGGACUGGGAUUAACAAACCGGCUGCCCCUGAAUACGUACUCAGAUGCGGCUGCAGAGUGACCUGUGACUCACUGUGCUGCCAGUCGUUGCGCUGCUCCUCGCCUCGUGCGUUUUCCAUUGAGCCGGCCAGGUAGUUUACACACGGAGGAGCACCGCGUGGGAACUUGGGGUUGCGCCGCAGUUCCUGCAGCUGCUGAAUGGGCAGAUCAAUGCACAGUGUCCAGAUGCCGCCGUGCAUGGGCACCAGGAAAACAGAGUCGCGCCGAAAGCGAUGAUCGGCUGCGAGAGGAGAAACGCACCGCGGGGUUCAAUAUUCAAUCGGUAUAUAAUUAUUUAAUAUAGAUAUUUGGCUCACCCCUCUUGUCCGGCUUGAGCAUAGCCACCUGGUCGUCGAGAAGCCACUCCAGAUGCAGUCCCGAUCGAUUGGAGUAGCGAUCAAGGCUGUUGCGGUCCCAUGUAACGUGCUCCCAGUGAUCAGUCAUGAUGGCAGCGCACAGCAUGGCUGUGGCGCUUGUAGUCAUCAGCAGAGUGACGAACAGGAAGAGCACCGGCGGCGGGCCCAUGCAGCAGCUGGAGCAACAGGUGCUGCCGCCUCCCCUACCGCCCAUGCCCAUUCCCAGACCCUCCAUCUGGGAGCCCAGUGAGUUGGGUGAACCACUACCGCUGCCCCGACGCUGAAUGACCUUGGCGCAGCUGUUCUGUCGCAACAGGAUGCUGUUGCUCCGCCUUAGACUCUCGACUGCCGCCGCCGCUGCUGCUGUGGUCGUUGGAUUAUCAAACUGCAGGGAUCCUCCAACCACCGAGGAGGGGUGCUCAUAAAUGCUGUUGUGCCGGCUGGGUGCAAAGUAGUAGCACGUCGUCUGGCGGUUAUCGACGGAACUCGAGGCUACCGGCUCGCCGCCGGGCAACUCCUCAUUGCUGCUGGAGUAGACGAUGGACUGCUUAAACUGAUUCGAGUAGCAGUUUUGCUUGAAGCUCUGCUGUUGCUGCUGCUGUUGCACGUACAAGGCCUCGUAGUCGCAGUGAUGUGGAUUCCGGUAGAUGACUGGCCAGGAGCGAGUGGUCUUGGAGUUGUGGCUAUAACGCUGGGUCGAUGUGGUUGGCGCUAUAGAGCCGGGCUCCUCCACCAACGGCGUUAGCUCAUUGGGCGGUUCCGCCGGCUCGGACAACUUAGUGUGCUGCUCCUGCGCGGAAUGCUCCAGAUCCGGAUCCUCCUGCUGAACGGUGGUUGCCAGCUGGCGCUGAAGCACGUUCUUAACCGCUGUACCACUGCCGCUGGCCAAGCUGAAAUCCUCCUCUUCGACCAGAGUGGCCCCGCCUGGCGUGGAGAAAAGGAUGUUAGACGUCGGCGGCGAAGGUUGCGAGCGACUGCGGAGCAGGGCAAAGUGCUUGGGCUGGAUGGAGCCGGUUGCUGUCGUCGGCGACGUGAUGCUCACUUCGGGCACACAGCGGGCCGUCACCUUGUACCGGCUGCCGCUGCCAACGGCGACGCCGACGUUGACCCCAACGCCGACGCCGACGUUGCCCUUGGAGCGCAUCAGUCAUAAGUCGCUCGCGUCCCGCUUCUUGAUCUUGUUCAGGCUCAUGUGGUUCGUGGUGGUGGCGAUGGUGGAUUGUUGGAUGUUUGCGAUUUCGGAUGGAUGUUGUAUUUUGCUCUGGUUGCUGAUGUUGCAGAUGUUGCUGUUGUGUUCUUGGGUUGUUUUUGUGUGCGACGCCUAAGAGUCUACGUUGCAAAAUAUUACUUUGCUGGGGUGCCUCGACAAAAAAUGUAUGUAAGUUUUACAU